rnacentral:lncRNA from 1 species
AGCAGUUUGAUCGAGCUCAACUUGCUGCAACACAAUUGUGAGCAUGAUAGUAACAGAUCUCAAAUGUUAGAACCUUUGAUCUUGGCAUUUUUAUAAAUCUCACUUUAAGCCAGACAAUGCUCGACUUUGAGUUGAUUUGUUUGUUUUUUUUUUUUUUUGAACAAUUGCCCAAGAGUUUAAUUAUCUUUGUUAUAGUUAUCGUGAGUGAUAUGGCUCGGAUUUGCUGCAUGUUAAAAUCACGCUAGCCCACUCAGCUGACCAAUGGCUAGGUGCACUACAAAAGAAAGGAUAUCUCCCGGCUCUACCGACGCUUUUAAGCGUCGGCGAAGUUCCAGCCCACGCACCCCAAAGCGUGGGUCAGACGUCGAGCAGGUGGGCG